GCUUAAAGGGGCCGUAGCUGGCCGAGUAAGUCUUUCGGGAAAUCCGCUGGCCUAACCAGUGGGCGUCCGGAGGAUACUGCUCGGCUUGGGACCGGGAGACCAAAGGGGUACGUCCGGGGUAGGAGUGAAAUCCUGUAAUCCUGGACGGACCACCGGUUGCGAAAGCGCCUUUGGAGAACGGAUCCGACAGUGAGGGACGAAAGCUAGGGUCUCGAACCGGAUUAGAUACCCGGGUAGUCCUAGCCGUAAACGAUGAUCGCUAGGUGUGGCACAGGCUACGAGCCUGUGCUGUGCCGUAGGGAAGCCGUGAAGCGAUCCGCCUGGGAAGUACGUCCGCAAGGAUGAAACUUAAAGGAAUUGGCGGGGGAGCACUACAACCGGAGGAGCCUGCGGUUUAAUUGGACUCAACGCCGGACAUCUCACCAGCUCCGACAGUAAUCAUGACGGUCAGGUUGAUGACCUUACUCGACGUUACUGAGAGGAGGUGCAUGGCCGCCGUCAGCUCGUACCGUGAGGCGUCCUGUUAAGUCAGGCAACGAGCGAGACCCGCACCUCUAGUUGCCAGCAGCAUCUCGCGAUGGCUGGGUACACUAGGGGGACUGCCGCCGCCAAGGCGGAGGAAGGAACGGGCAACGGUAGGUCAGUAUGCCCCGAAUGAGCUGGGCAACACGCGGGCUACAAUGGCCGGGACAAUGGGAAGCCACCCCGAGAGGGGGCGCUAAUCUCCUAAACCUGGUCGUAGUUCGGAUUGAGGGCUGAAACUCGCCCUCAUGAAGCUGGAUUCGGUAGUAGUCGCGUUUCAGAAGAGCGCGGCGAAUACGUCCCUGCUCCUUGCACCCACCGCCCGU
rnacentral:rRNA from 1 species